UGUAUGCAAGUUUUAAGGCCGGGCAGUGUACUAAGGGAUUCAAGUGCAAGUUAUCUCAUGAUUUGAAUGUCCAGAGGAAUGGUGAAAUGAUUGACAUUUACAGUGAUACGUGCGACGAUGAAACCAUGGAGGAGUGGGAUCAAGAGAUGUUGGAGAAGGUUGUGGAGUCAAAGAAGAAUGAGUGUAAUAAUCAGAACAAGCCCACUGAAAUUUCUUAUGUUAAGGGAAAGAGGUAAGAGACAAAUGAAAUAGGCAUAUCUUAGUGCUAAAUCAAAGGUUCGAGAUGGCUAGGUUAUAGAGGAGACAAAUGGAUUUGGGUUGGUUUUGGCAAUGAUGAUCAAUGGUGAAAAGAUGGUGUUAGCUAAUAUGGGAGACUACAUAGCAAUCAUUUGAAGAGAGGGUUUGUCUCAUGAAAUAGGCAGUAGACACAAGUAAUCAUCCAAAAGGAGUUGGCCUAAUAGAUUCUCUAAAGGUAUGAAUUUAUAUGAUUAUGGUGGCUUACUGGCUUAAGUGCACAUAGUUUGUAGAGAGUUCACAUUUUAAUAUGUUAUACACGCAAUGCAGCAAGUAAUCAUUGCUAUAUGUUAAUUAGUUGUUUGGUAAGACCUAUAUGUCUACCUAGUUGGAAACUUUUGCUGUUUUGAUUUAUUAUUUAUAAUAAUAGGUGUCAUUUG